rnacentral:rRNA from 1 species
ACGGGGUGCAGCAGGCGCGAAAACUUUGCAAUACACGAAAGUGUGACAGGGCUAUCCCGAGUGCCAUCCGCUGAGGAAGGCUUUUACCCAGUUUAGAACGCUGGGGGAAUAAGGAGAGGGCAAGACUGGUGUCAGCCGCCGCGGUAAUACCAGCUCUCCGAGUUGUGUGGAUGUUUAUUGGGCCUAAAGCAUCCGUAGCUGGUCAAGUUAGUCCCCUGUUAAAUCCAGCGACGAAUCGUUGGCCUGCGGGGGAUACUGCUCGGCUAGGGGGCGGGAGAGGCCGUCGGUAUUCUUGGGGUAGGGGUGAAAUCCUAUAAUCCCAGGAGGACCACCAGUGGCGAAGGCUGUCGACUAGAACGCGCCCGACGGUGAGGGAUGAAAGCUGGGGGAGCGAACCGGAUUAGAUACCCGGGUAGUCCCAGCUGUAAACGAUGCAGGCUAGGUGUUAGGGCGGCUACGCGCCGCUCUAGUGCCGCAGGGAAGCUGUUAAGCCUGCCGCCUGGGGAGUACGGCCGCAAGGCUGAAACUUAAAGGAAUUGGCGGGGGAGCAC